GCAUCCGUAGCUCAGCUGGAUAGAGUUCUCGGCUACGAACCGAGCGGUCGGAGGUUCGAAUCCUCCCGGAUGCACCA
rnacentral:tRNA from 8 species